rnacentral:antisense_RNA from 1 species
CUUGAUCGACCCGAGCCACAGCGGCCGGUCCGCCGGGUGCCCCUGGCCGUAGGUUUCCAGCAGGGCCUGCGCCUC